GAUGAACGCUAGCGGGAGGCCUAACACAUGCAAGCCGAGCGGUAGAAUCUUUUCGGAGAUUUGAGAGCGGCGUACGGGUGAGGAACACGUGUGCAACCUGCCUUUAUCUGGGAGAUAGCCUUUCGAAAGGAAGAUUAAUAUCCCAUAAUAUAUUGAGUGGCAUCACUUAAUAUUGAAAGCUCCGGCGGCUAGAGAUGGGCACGCGCACGAUUAGAUAGUUGGUGAGGUAACGGCUCACCAAGUCUACGAUCUUUAGGGGGCCUGAGAGGGUGAUCCCCCACACUGGUACUGGGACACGGACCAGACUCCUACGGGAGGCAGCAGUGAGGAAUAUUGGACAAUGGGUGCAAGCCUGAUCCAGCCAUCCCGCGUGAAGGAUUAAGGUCCUAUGGAUUGUAAACUUCUUUUAUACAGGGAUAAACCUCUCCUCGUGAGGAGAGCUGAAGGUACUGUAUGAAUAAGCACCGGCUAACUCCGUGCCAGCCGCCGCCGUAA
rnacentral:rRNA from 1 species